rnacentral:rRNA from 1 species
CCUACGGGAGGCAGCAGUGGGGAAUUUUGGACAAUGGGCGCAAGCCUGAUCCAGCCAUGCCGCGUGUGGGAAGAAGGCCUUCGGGUUGUAAACCACUUUUGUCAGGGAAGAAACGGCUUUUUCUAAUACAGAGAGCUAACGACGGUACCUGAAGAAUAAGCACCGGCUAACUACGUGCCAGCAGCCGCGGUAAUACGUAGGGUGCAAGCGUUAAUCGGAAUUACUGGGCGUAAAGCGUGCGCAGGCGGCUUUGCAAGACAGAUGUGAAAUCCCCGGGCUCAACCUGGGAACUGCAUUUGUGACUGCAUGGCUAGAGUACGGUAGAGGGGGAUGGAAUUCCGCGUGUAGCAGUGAAAUGCGUAGAUAUGCGGAGGAACACCGAUGGCGAAGGCAAUCCCCUGGACCUGUACUGACGCUCAUGCACGAAAGCGUGGGGAGCAAACAGGAUUAGAUACCCUGGUAGUCCACGCCCUAAACGAUGUCAACUGGUUGUUGGACGGCUUGCUGUUCAGUAACGAAGCUAACGCGUGAAGUUGACCGCCUGGGGAGUACGGCCGCAAGGUUGAAACGUCAAAGGAUUGACGG